AGCAGCACGGGAGCGACCCGUUGGCUGGCAGACAAUCCAGUCCCAGCACACGGCAAGCGUGAUGGGGUUGGCUUUGUGCUUAUCCCCGUCUUCCAAUAACGGGAAAGACUUAAUGCAUCGCACCGAAAUACAUAAUGCCUCGUCAACGUUAUGGAACGGCAACUGCAUCGCUCGGGGAGAAUGCUGUUCUCCUCGCGGUUCCGUCGCCCCA
rnacentral:ncRNA from 1 species